rnacentral:rRNA from 1 species
UUGCUCAUUACAACAGCCAUUGUUUACUGGAUCUUAAAAUCCUACUUGGAUAACUGUGGUAAUUCUAGAGCUAAUACACGCACCAAGCUCUGACCGCAAGGGAUGAGCGCAUUUAUUAGAACAAAACCAAUCGGGUUCGUCCCGUCUUUGGUGGAUCUGAAUAACUCAGCUGAUCGCAUGGUCUCGCACCGGCGACGUAUCUUCCAAGUGUCUGCCUUAUCAACUUUUGAUGGUAGUUUAUGCGACUACCAUGGUUGUAACGGGUAACGGAGAAUAAGGGUUCGACUCCGGAGAGGGAGCCUGAGAAACGGCUACCACAUCCAAGGAAGGCAGCAGGCGCGCAAAUUACCCAAUCUCGGAACGAGGAGGUAGUGACGAAAAAUAACGAGACGGUUCUCUAUGAGGCCCGUUAUCGGAAUGAGUACAAUUCAAACCUUUUAACGAGGAUCUACG